AAAAAAGAAAGCUGCUCUGCAAAGUGACUGAAUCUACUAUAGCAAUUGCAUCCACAAUCCACUGCAGCGCCAACAAUAGAGCGGCGGAGCAGAGAUGUCUAGCUCUCCUUCAAGACUGCAAUAGCCUUCCCAAACUCACCCAAGUCCACACCCACAUCCUCAAAUUGGGUCUCCAGAACAAUCCUCUUGUCCUCACCAAGUUCACUUCCACAUCCUCUGAUAUUUACGCCAUUGACUAUGCUUCCUCUUUCUUAUUCUCACCGGAAUCGGAUACCCGUUUAUAUGAUACCUUUCUCUUCAAUACCAUCAUCAGAGCUUAUGCUCAAACUAAUCAUUCGAAGGACAAAGCUAUAUGCAUGUAUAACCUCAUGCUUGAAUAUAAUGUUUUGCCUAAUAAGUUCACAUACCCUUUUGUCCUCAAGGCCUGUGCGGGUAUUGGAAACUUGAAUUUGGGCAAGUCUCUUCAUGGUUCAGUGUUGAAAUUUGGAUUUGACAAUGACGUGCAUGUGCAGAAUACAAUGGUGCACAUGUAUUGCUGUGGCAGAGGAGGGAUUGAGUUUGCACGUAAGGUGUUUGAUGAAAUGGGAAAAAUGGACUCUGUUUCGUGGAGUGCGAUGAUUGGUGGGUAUGCACGUUUAGGGAUGUCCACUGAUGCAGUUAGUUUGUUUAGGCAAAUGCAGAUCGCAGGUGUUUGUCCUGAUGAGAUUACUAUGGUAUCUGUUUUGUCUGCCUGUACAGAUUUAGGUGCUCUUGAACUUGGGAAGUGGGUAGAGUCCUAUAUCGAGAAAGAAGGAGUUCAAAAGACAGUUGAGCUUUGUAAUGCUCUGAUUGACAUGUUUGCUAAGUGUGGUAAUGUUGAUAAAGCUAUCAAAUUGUUUAGGAACAUGGAAGAGAGAACCAUUGUUUCGUGGACUUCUGUGAUUGUUGGCUUGGCAAUGCACGGUCGUGGUGUAGAGGCUGUUGCAUUGUUUGAAGAGAUGAUAGGAAGUGGGGUGGUGCCAGAUGAUGUUGUGUUUAUUGGGCUGCUCUCUGCUUGCAGUCAUUCUGGGUUAGUUAAUAGGGGAAGAGAUUAUUUUGACUUGAUGGUAAAGAAUUUUGGCAUAGUACCUAAAAUUGAACACUACGGAUGCAUGGUUGAUAUGUUGUGCAGGGCAGGACUCAUUAGAGACGCAUUGGAAUUUGUUCAGCAAAUGCCUAUUGAGCCCAAUCCUAUUGUUUGGCGUACUCUAAUUAAUGCUUGCCGUGCCCAUGGUGAACUCAAGCUUGGAGAAAAAAUCACCAGACAGCUUAUUAGAAAUGAGCCCAUGCACGAGUCCAACUAUGUACUACUCUCCAACAUUUAUGCCAAAAUGUUCAACUGGGAAAAGAAAAUGAGGAUUAGAGAGUUGAUGGACAGGAAGGGAAUGAAGAAGAUCCCUGGGAGCACUAUGAUUGAGUUGGGCAAUGAAAUUUAUGAAUUUGUGGCUGGAGAUAAAUCUCACUACCAGUACAGCGAAAUAUUUGAAAUGGUGGACGAGAUGGGAAGGGAGAUGAAGCAGGCUGGGUAUGUCCCAACUACAUCAGAGGUUUUGCUUGAUAUUGACAAUGAAGACAAGGAAGACACUUUGAACACACAUAGUGAAAAGCUGGCUAUUGCUUUUGCCCUUCUGAACACCCCACCUGGAACUUCUAUUAGAAUUGUGAAGAAUCUGCGAGUUUGCAGUGAUUGUCACUCCGCUACUAAGUUCGUCUCUAAGAUAUAUAAUCGAGAAAUAAUAAUGAGAGACCGGAACAGGUUUCACCAUUUCAAGGAUGGGAUGUGCUCAUGCAGAGAUUUCUGGUAAUAAACUUGGUACGGUUUCAUGAUGUUGCUGACUGGGUAGAUUCUCGUGACAAAUUACAGAGCACUUGGUCGUGAAUUUAACCUGCCCCAUGGUAAUUUACUGGUGCUGACGUUUUCUCCAACUAGAAAUUGACCAUUUUGUGUGACAGUAAGACCAUAUUUUUCCGCCAACCUUCGCUCCAUUCUGUCAUCUCAAGAUUGCAGCUUAAAGGAUCAUCAGGUGGAAGUAGUAAGGGGCAUUUCCUGUGUGCAACUGAGGAUAGAAUAGCGCAUACCAUGCAUUUAUGUUUGGCAGUCAUGAUCAUAUAUGCUUCCUCUGAACCCAACUUUUCUGUAGGAGUUUGGUCUAGGCAGAAAAACCAGUUCUUACGUUGAUUAGGUAUGCUACAAAAACCUUUUUUUUUAUUUUUAGAUUUAGCUCAUCAUCAAUUUACGUGCAAUCCAAAGAACAAUGAGUCAGGAUUGUAUUUUUAUCGAAUACUUGCAUUGCAGGUCGUAAUUAAUGAAAAUGGACUUUAU
rnacentral:misc_RNA from 1 species